ensembl:lncRNA
UAACAAAGAACUCAUAACGAGAAGUCUCUUAAAUUUACACACGCUUCGUCGAAGAGUAUACUAAAAGGCAUGAAGUGAAUGCCAAAGAUCAAAAACAGGUUGGCGGAGAUUAUUGGAGAUCAAUUUAGGAUAACGGUUCCACAAUCCUAAAAUCAGCAUGAGGGCAUGUUGUGAAAGAAAGUACUCACAGAGGUCCAGCACAUGGCAGAGUCGAGAUCCAUUUCAAAAUUGUGAUUUGCCAUAUUUAUGUAUUUGUGGAUCUAUGGCUAUCUAACUCAGAAUGAUAAUGACACGGGAGGGCCACAAUUCUUCAUCAUCACCAUCAGAGGGCUAUGUGACUGUGCACUUCAACCAGACGAAAACUGCGAGAAGCUACACAUUUUUGAUUUUGUUCGAUAUGAUUUCCUGUAUUCUGGUGCAUUUUGGGGAUGGCCACUACCUACAAAAUCUUCCAGAUUCAUAACCUAUGCACGGCAGGAGUGGCUAUUGGAGUGGAAUUGUGCGGUUUGACAAACAGGCCGCUAAAGAGAGAGGCCAACGGUGAGAUAUGCCAAAUACCAACCGAGAGGAGAUGUUGGAGGACUCCAUCCACUCAAACAUGGAGAUAGAUGGCUACCCGGACUGCCAUGAAUUUGUGUGGAGCUGCCUGGCCAAGCAACCUCAGGAACGUCUGCCCCUGGAUUGCCUGCUGGGCCAACCCUUGAUUGCAGUAAAGCAGACUGAUGAACCUCUGGACAUCACUGAGCUCAACGUUGCACUCCCUGGUGAAAAUGAAAUGUACCAAGUAUACUUAAUCUCAAUAUACUUAAUGUACUUACAGCACCCUUAAGUGUACUUCACACAUACUAAGUACACUUAAUUUCUAAGAUCAAGUUCACUUAAAAAGUGUGAAUAAUAUUUUGCUAGAAAUACACUUACAAAGCACACCAACCACAUAUUUCAAGAGCACUAUUAUAAAAGGUAUAAGACAAUAUUUCAAAUGCACUGAAGGAGUACUUGUCAUGUUGUCAGAUUAUAUAGAUUAAAUAUCAACAGCACCUUGAAUACAAGUGUUUUUAAAGUUUUGUUUAAGCAUUAUUGAAGUGUAUGUAAAAUAUAUACAGUACCCCCCCCCCUCAAUGGGCGCCUCCAGGCGACCCACCAGGUCUAUCAGGGUGCUCCUCACGGAAAUCUCGGACCAAGGAUGCAAUAACACUUUAUCGGAAAUAUAUUCAAAAUAAACUUUAAGGGAGAUCAGUUAAGUAUACUUGUAAGAAGUAUGAUGAAAGCAUACUUCAAGUAUUACAGCAGUAGCAUACUUAUCAUUAUUAGCCUAUAUUACAGUUGCACUUGAUGACAUCCUGAGCGAAAUACACUUCAUCGGAAAUAUAUUCUAAAUAAACUUUUGAAAAAGAUCAGUUAAGUGUAGAAGAUGUAUGUUGAAAGCAUAUUUCAAGUAUUACAGCACUAAGGUACAUACCAGCCCAUGUCUGGCUGUGGGUGGGGACGGCACCGAGCUUCGAUGUUCAAUUUUGUUUCACAGAACAAGACAAAUAGGCCAUCUACAAGAAUAUGAUGAUAUAAAAUAGAUAGUUAACGUUCCUUUCUUUUAGGAGGCUACAUAUCAAAAUACGUUAAAUAAAGUCUGCUUGUUUAAUUUGGAGCUGGUGUAUUUAGUGACCGCUUUGGUCCCCUCGGACACGGCCAGCUCCCCGGGCAGCAGCAGCCUCACGGAGGUCUGCACCUCCCGGCUGGUGAUGGUUGAGCGCUGGUUGUACCAACCCAGUCUCACGGAAAUACGUGACACUGUCACGUCAUUUAAUCUAUUCAUUCGUGAUCUGGGACACGUAAUUUCAAUUUUUUCGUGCCAUAAAGCACAAAUUUCUAACAAUAUGACAGCUUCAAAAUGUUUUAGAUGUACAUCGAGUUAGAUUCUCUCCUUUUGCCCUUUUUUUUAACCAUUAUUUUUGAGUUGGAAAACAUAAUGUAUUUAUUCAGCAUGUCUCUCCAAUAAGAAACUUUGUAACAGGGUACUUCGACAUUUCGCCUUAAAAAAUAGGCCAAAUGGUAAAAUAGAAAAUGUUAAAAUCUGCAUAUUUUAGUAUGCUAAACCAUAAACAGAAGUAAUUUAUGUGUUGAGGCCUUUUGAUUCUGUUAUUACCGGUCAGUAUUGAUGGCUGAUGUGAAGGGAGAGUUUGAUUGAGAACACAAGAUAAGUUUAAAAUAGAUGUAUAAAUAUUACAUCAAUUAAUCAGACUAGGUUGAAUGUGGAAUCAUUCUUAUUAUAACAAGUGUUCUAUAAGAAUUGUAGUGUAUAUUAGCAAAAACCAACAACAUGAGACAAGGUUUUUUUUUCAAACUUGUUAAACAACGGCAGCAAAAGCUAUUGAUGAUUGCAACUAACAAAGUUCUGUAUUUGGAGAACCAAGAGCGCACCUCAUCUCCAAAGAUGGUACCACUCUAGGAACAGCUGGGGUCCAGUCCAGAUGAGAUGGUACCACUCUAGGAACAGCUAGGGUCCAGUCCAGAUGAGAUGGUACCACUUUAGGAACAGCUAGGGUCCAGUCCAGAUGAUCUGGUACCACUGGGGGAUUCCUCUGACUCUCUUUGGUUAUUUGGCAUACCUCAGGAAAGAGAUCAGGGAAGCAUGAACGCUCACAAAACGUUUACAACGUAGACGUUUCCCGCCAUCAAUUGAUAAACCAAGUCAUGCAAUUAAUGUAAAUAAAAUAAAACACACUUUCAUUACCAGGCCAUAGGGUUGCUCUGUAGGCCAGCAGUCCGUGCUCCUGUCCUGUCUGCUGUAGGAGCGGGGACAAGUGCAGCAACUUAGCAGCUCGUAGGCCUAAACGGGCUUCAGAUGCCGGCAAAGGGGGAAAUUCAAAAUGUCCUCAACAUACUGGCGAUUUUCUGUUUUAUAGAAUAUCUAUAAUACAUUGAAUCCGAUUAUACAAUUAUCAUAAUUGAUUAAUCCUUAUUAACUGGAAAAAAAAAAAUGCAUUUGUGGUUUUCGGGUGUUACUUGUGCAGCGUUCGCCAGCACUUGCCGAUGACACAUUGUGUUGUUUUGAGUGUGACUCGGAUAAACCUCAGCCCUACCACUUGGCCCCACCCCUAUAUCAAAACAUCAAUCAGGAAUCCCUACUCCUACAUACAACCUACAAGAGAACAUACGUGUAAAGAUAUCAACUCACCUUAAUCCGAGGCUCAUAGUUAGUAGUACUGAAAUAAAGUCGACUUCGCUUUCACAUUAACUACAAUGAGUCAACAGACCUGUUUCACAGAGCUGGCAUUGGAGGACAAUAAGAGGGACAAAGAUAUAAUACCUAUUUUUUUUUUUGCUAAAAAUACCAUGCAUACCAUACUUCCUGCAGC